rnacentral:lncRNA from 1 species
CCGUCGCAUAUGUAUAUAUAUAUAUAUAUAUAUAUAUAUAUAUAUAUAUAUAUAUAUAUAUAUAUAUAUAUAUAUGGUAUAUAUAUGUGUGUGUGUGUGUGUGUGUGCGUGCACACACGUCUUUGAGUCUGUGUUUGUGCCCCACCGCCGCUUGACAACCGGUGUUGGUGUGUUUACGUUCCGGUAACUUAGCGGUUCGGCAAAAGAGACCCGAUAGAACUGGCAUCAGGCUAGAAAAAAACACUUCGUACUGGGGCCAAUUCGUUCGACUGUCAAAACCCUUCAAGUCAGUGCCCCAGCAUGGGCGCAGUCUUAUAACUGAAACAAGUUAAAAGGGGAAAGAUGGAAGAUAGACAGACACCGAUGCAUACACACACAUACAUACAUACAUACACACAUACACACACAUACAUACACACAUACACACACAUACAUACACACAUAAAUACACACAUACACACACGAACGUAAACACACCGCAUCAUAUACAGAACCACACCAUUAUAGAUGCAGACAAUUCAUACACACACACACACACACACACACACACACACACGCACACUCACAGUCAUACACGCAUACAUAAUAACAUACAUACAUGCUGAUACAUAUAACACAACCGCACAUACAUGCACCUAUAUGUACACACGAACUACAUACACACAACCAGUGCCGGGUUUACCAUUGUGCUUUUAAGUACAGGGCCCCGUUGACCGGGGGCCCUGUCGAAAUAAGGGGCCUCAUAACGUAACUAGUACAGGGCCUCAUUUGUCCUAAAUCCGGCACUGCACACAUCACACAUACAUACAAUCAUAACACAUUACAUGCAUCUAUAUAGAUAGCCACACCAUACACACGCUGCAUUAUAAGCUAUCUCACACAAGCAUUGCACAAGCCAAAGUGACCCUUGUUCGACCUUUUAGAAUUAGUAGCCUAAUUUCUCUCAAAUCCCGCCUCCACUGUUCUAGAUUAUUAGACGACGGCAAAAAAUGGUGUUUGCAGUUUCUUGUACGUGCGUUUAAGACGGGAUAGUUACGUCUGCUGUGCAUGUGAUUUAUACGUCUAAUCUGUCUGCUUAAGCAAGGCUGACCUGGGUCUAAAAAUAAAAAAAAGCAACAGAAGAAAUGAAUAAGCAACAAUCAUGCACAUUUCAGGCAAUAAGAAUUAUACAUACCGCAUUGCAUACAACCACACAUAUACAUAUCUACGUAUGUGUGUAUGUAUUGUAUGUAUGAAAGUAAAUACAUACAUAUACGUAUGUAUGUAUGUAUGUAUGUAUGUAUGUAUGUAUGUAUGUAUGUAUGUAUGUAUGUAUGUAUGUAUGUAUAUCUGUGUGCGUGUAUGCAUGUAUAUGUAUAUAUAUAUAUAUAUAUAUAUAUAUAUAUAUAUAUAUAUAUAUAUAUAUAUAUAUACAUAUAAACAAAAACUGUCUGAUGAACGGCAACGAGAAACUCAGAGUAACAGAUUUUGUUGAAUUUUCUGCUGCUUUAAAUAAAGCAUAUUACUCUACCACUGGUAUUUGAGUACUCUUUUUUUCCACCUUGUUUCACAUUUAUGUGUUUACUCCGUAUAUAUAUAUAUAUAUAUAUAUAUAUAUAUAUAUGUAUGUAUACACUCCAUAUUUCAGGGUCCCUUGUACAAAAACAGUAACACGUUAUUAUAAAGCUACUACGAAACAUUUACUACAUCAGCAAACAGAAUCCUCGUUUCGCAUUGACACUUUUAAUUUUUAAAAAAAAGAAAAGAAAAAGAAACCCCACCAAACUUAAUAAGCGAAACUCUGCCAAAUAUAAAACCGAAGAUAGAAAACAGACAAUCGAAAAUAGAAAAUAGAAAAAAAAAAACGAACGAACGACGGAGCAAAUAUAACUGGAGGAGAGAGAAAGAAAAAUACGAUGACAAGGAAAGCGAUAAAAAUAUCGUUAUGUUCAAUCAAAAUGGCAACGUUUGUAGCCAUGUGUAGUUGCGCACGACACGCUAGUAAACAGUUGCAUGAUGGGAAGUUUUGAGCGUAGUGUUUAACAUACAUAGUGUAAAUUAGCCAAUCAGAUUGUCACUUUUGACACUCCUCUCACCGUCUCUACUGCAUUGUUAAUUAUCGUAUUUUGCAUUUGUGAUAUUGUUUUGUUUGUUUGUUUGUUGGCAAUAUAUUUUAUUUAUAUUUUAUUCUAUUUUAUUAAUAUUUCAUUCCGUUUUAUUUUAUUUUAUUUUAUUUUAUUUUAUUUUAUUCUAUUUUAUUUUAUCCGGCCUCGGUUUUUUUUUUUUUAGAGAAUCACCGAAAAUAUAGUAAUGGCUUGGAAGGUAAGGGAUUGGGAAAUGGUAGUGGUUGUGGUGCCAGUGGUAUUGGUUGUAGAGGUGGCGACGAUGAUGAUGGUGGUAGCGGUGGUAGCGGUGGUAGUUGAGGUAGUGGUGAUGAUGGUGGUUGCGGAGGUUGUAGUAGCGAUGGCAAUGACGGUGCUUGCGGUGGUGGUGGUGGUUAUAUUGCUUUGGCGGCGGUUGAGUUUGUGUUCGCGGCGAUGGUGGUUGUGUCGUGUUGGUGGUGGUUGUGUUAUGUUUGCGGUGGUUGUGUUGGCGGUAGUUGGCUACUGUACAAUGUUAGUAAUUGUUGGCAGUAGUUGUGUGGUCUCUGGUGGUAGUGUUGGGGGUGAUGGUGGUUGUAUCCGUGGUGGUUGUGUUAGUGUUGGUAGUAGUUGUGUUGGUGGUGGCGAAGGUGUUUGCGUUGGUGGGGAUCCUGAUGGUGGUAGUGGUGGUGGCGAUGGUGGUAGUUGUAAUGGUGGCUUGGUGAUGGUGGUGGUGGUGGUGGUUGUGAUGAUGACGGCGGUGAUGGUGGUGGUUGUAAUGGUGGCGGUGGUGAUGGUGGUGGUUGUGAUGAUGUCAGUGGCGAUGGUGGUGGUUGUCGUCGUGUUGGUGGUUGUCGUCGUGUUGGUGGUUGUAUCGACGGUGGUGAUGGUGGUGAUGGUGAUGAUAACGGUGAUGGCUAUGGUUGUUGUUGGUGGUGGUUGUGAUAGUUGUGGUGAUGGUGGCGGUGGUGUUGAUGGUGGUGGAGGUUGUGUUGGUAGUGAUAGCAGUGGUGGUGGUAGUUUCCUUAGUGGUUGUGUUGAAGGUGGUGUCAAUAGCGUUUGCGGUUAUUGUGGUGAUGAUGAUUGCAAUGGUGCUGGUAAUAAAUGGCGCUCCAAUUACGACCAUUCCGACUUGUGCAUAUACCUCGAAGGACAACAAAAUGUCCUUCCAUUUUUGAAGACGAGAACAUUUGGCCGCUAUUUCUAGCUGGUUGAGUCACCAUGUAGAAGCUAUCGUGAUGCUGUUGUUGAUUAUGCUGACGAUGGAGAUUGUGAAAGGGACUGAAGAUGUAGCUGCAUGGUUAGUGGUAUUGGUGGUAAUGGUGCUGAUGUCAGUGGUGGUGAUGGUGGUGGUGAUGGUGGUGGUGGUGGUGGUGGUGAUGGUAGUGCUGCUGAUGUUAGUGGUGGUGAUGGUGGUGGUAGUGGUGAUGGUAGUGGUGGUGAUGUUAGUGCUGCUGAUGAUGGUGGUGGUGGUGAUGGUAGUGGUGCUGAUGUUAGUGGUGGUGAUGGUGGUGGUAGUGGUGAUGGUAGUGGUGGUGAUGUUAGUGCUGCUGAUGAUGGUGGUGGUGGUGAUGGUAGUGGUGCUGAUGUUAGUGUGGUGAGUGGUGAUGGUAGUGGUGGUGAUGUUAGUGCUGCUGAUGAUGGUGGUGGUGGUGAUGGUAGUGGUGGUGAUGGUAGUGGUGGUGGUGAUGGUGCUGGUGUUAGUGGUGGUGGCUGUACUAGUAAUUCUGAAGGUGUCUAUGUCGAGGUGGUGGUAGUUGUAUUAGGGUGCUUGGGUUGUAGUAGUGUGGUGAUGACGAUCGAGCUGUUUGUUGUGGCUGCGGUCGUGGCGGUGGUGAUGGCGCUAGUGUCGCACCUGUCGUUAUAUCUUUAUACUUACCUUCAGCUGUGUAUGUGUGUGUGUGCGUGCGUGCGUGCGUGUGUUUGUGUGUGUGCAUGCUUAUACUAUUUCUCUCUUUCUCUCUCUCUCACGUACACACACAUACACGCACACGCACACAUGCACACAUACACGCACACAUGCACACAUACACGCACACACACACAUAUGCAUAACCAACACAGACACAAACACACACACGCUCACACACACUCACACAGACACACAGACACAAGCACAAACACAAACACACACAUGCAUUCAUAUACAUACACUAAAAUAUGUGAAUAUUCGCGCGCACACGCACACACACACUUCGACACGCACGAAUAGCUGUAUAAUGUAUGCUUGUAAACGGAAAUUCUAUAUAUAGCAUUUACUAAAUAUAGAGCGCUAUAUAUAAAUAUGCUAUAUAUAUAUGUAUGUCUGUAUGUAUGUAUGUAUGUAUGUAUUAUGUAUAUGCAUAUGCGUGUGUAUGUGUCUUUAUGUAUGUAAAGACACAUACAUACAUGCAUACAUACAUACAUACAUACAUACAUGCAUGCAUACAUACAUACAUAUAUACAUACAUAUAUGUGUGUGUUGCACAUAAAAGGAGAUUAAUAAACACACACAACACACACACACGCAUAUAUAUAUAACCAUAGCAUAGAAAAUAUUUGAUAUAUAUAUAUAUAUAUAUAUAUAUAUAUAUAUAUAUAUACAUGCAUAUAUAUACAUACAUAUAUGUAUAUGUAUGUGCAUAUAUAUACAUACAUAUAUGUAUAUGUAUGUGUAUAUAUAUACAUAUACAUACAUAUAUAUAUAUAUAUAUGUAUAUAUAUGUGUAUAUAUAUAUACAUAUAUAUGUAAAUAUAAUAUAUAUAUAUAUAUAUAUAUAUAUAUAUAUAUCUUUCACACCAUCUCUCAGUACCCUGCAUCAGUUAAAUAUAGCAGAAACAGAGGAGAGAAAGACAGUGAAAAACAAAGAAAGAAGAGAGAGAGGGAGUGAGAGGGAGAGAGAGAGAGAGAGAGAGAGAGAGAGAGGAACACAGAGAAAGAGAUGGAGACCGAGAGAGAGA